UACGAGGGGGGCAAGCGUUGUUCGGAAUUAUUGGGCGUAAAGGGCUCGUAGGCGGCCAACUAAGUCGGGAUGUGAAAUCCCCAGGCUUAACCUGGGAACUGCAUCCGAUACUGGUUGGCUUGAAUCCGGGAGAGGGAUGCGGAAUUCCAGGUGUAGCGGUGAAAUGCGUAGAUAUUCGGAAGAACACCAGUGGCGAAGGCGACUUACUGGACACAUAUUGACGCUGAGGUGCGAAAGCGUGGGGGAGCAAACAGG
rnacentral:rRNA from 1 species